rnacentral:rRNA from 1 species
CAGGAUGAACGCUAGCGACAGGCCUAACACAUGCAAGUCGAGGGGCAUCGGGGCGAGGAGCAAUCCUUGCCGCCGGCGACCGGCGCACGGGUGAGUAACGCGUAUGCGACCUGCCCGUUGCAGGGGGAUAAUCGGGAGAAAUCCCGUCUAAUACCGCGUAAUGCCGCGGGGCUGCAUGGCCCUGCGGCCAAAGGAAGCGAUUCCGGCAACGGAUGGGCAUGCGUGACAUUAGCUAGUUGGCGGGGCAACGGCCCACCAAGGCGACGAUGUCUAGGGGUUCUGAGAGGAAGGUCCCCCACACUGGUACUGAGACACGGACCAGACUCCUACGGGAGGCAGCAGUGAGGAAUAUUGGUCAAUGGGCGCGAGCCUGAACCAGCCAAGUCGCGUGAGGGAUGACGGCCCUACGGGUUGUAAACCUCUUUUGUCGGGGAGCAAAUUCCGCCACGCGUGGCGGGGUCGAGAGUACCCGAAGAAAAAGCAUCGGCUAACUCCGUGCCAGCAGCCGCGGUAAUACGGAGGAUGCGAGCGUUAUCCGGAUUUAUUGGGUUUAAAGGGUGCGUAGGCGGACUGUCAAGUCAGCGGUAAAAUACGGGGGCUCAACCUCCGCCCGCCGUUGAAACUGACGGUCUUGAGUGGGCGAGAAGUAUGCGGAAUGCGUGGUGUAGCGGUGAAAUGCAUAGAUAUCACGCAGAACUCCGAUUGCGAAGGCAGCAUACCGGCGCCCAACUGACGCUGAAGCACGAAAGCGUGGGUAUCGAACAGGAUUAGAUACCCUGGUAGUCCACGCAGUAAACGAUGAAUACUAGCUGUCCGGGGCGAAUGAGCCCUGGGUGGCACAGCGAAAGCGUUAAGUAUUCCACCUGGGGAGUACGCCGGCAACGGUGAAACUCAAAGGAAUUGACGGGGACCCGCACAAGCGGUGGAGCAUGUGGUUUAAUUCGAAGCAACGCGAAGAACCUUACCCGGCCUUGACAUCCCCCUGACAGUGUAUGUAAUGUACAUUCCCUUCGGGGCAGGGGAGACAGGUGGUGCAUGGUUGUCGUCAGCUCGUGUCGUGAGAUGUUGGGUUAAGUCCCGCAACGAGCGCAACCCUUACCCACAGUAGCCAGCACAAAAGGUGGGCACUCUGUGGGGACUGCCGGGGACAACCCGGAGGAAGGUGGGGAUGACGUCAAAUCAUCAUGCCCCUUAUGGCCGGGGCUACACACGUGCUACAAUGGCGUAAACAAAGGGAAGCGAGAGAGUGAUCUUAAGCGAAACUCAAAAAUAACGUCCCAGUUCGGAUUGCAGUCUGCAACUCGACUGCAUGAAGCUGGAAUCGCUAGUAAUCGCGGAUCAGAAUGCCGCGGUGAAUACG